rnacentral:rRNA from 1 species
UACGAGUGCCCCCGAGCGUUAUCCGGAAUUAUUGGGCGUAAAGGGUGUGUAGGCGGUUUUGUUAGUCUUUUGUUAAAGCUCCCGGCUUAACCGGGAAAGUGCAAAAGAAACGGCAAAACUGGAGGGUGCAAGAGGCUUAUGGAACUCAUGGUGUAGGGGUGAAAUCCGUUAAUAUCAUGGGGAACACCGAAGGCGAAGGCAGUAAGCUGGUGCACAUCUGACGCUGAAAACACGAAAGCGUAGGUAGCGAAU